rnacentral:tRNA from 1 species
GCGUCGGUGGUGUAGUGGUUAACAUAGUUGCCUUCCAAGCAAUUGUCAUGGGUUCGAUUACCGGCCGACACA